UUGGUGCGAAGAUGGCAUUAAUAUGGUCUAAAAUGAGUACUGGGCUUCCUAUUGAGAUCUCUUCAUCAAUGAAGAACCAAAAUUAUAUUUCAUUCUGCAGGCUGGAUAUAGACAUUCAUAAGAAUAUUCCUCAUGUACAUUU